ensembl:snoRNA
UGGUCAUUACUAAGGCUUUUAGAAUGCAGUUUCUCAUUUGCUGUGGACAUGACCAUAAAAAAUUCCCAUUAGGUUUUCUAUCAGCUACUUUGCUAACAGUCAACCUAUCGGGAACAUUU